UACGUAGGGUGCGAGCGUUGUCCGGAAUUAUUGGGCGUAAAGGGCUCGUAGGCGGCUUGUCGCGUCGGGUGUGAAAACACCGGGCUUAACUCGGUGCUUGCUUUCGAUACGGGCAGACUAGAGGUAUGCAGGGGAGAACGGAAUUCCUGGUGUAGCGGUGAAAUGCGCAGAUAUCAGGAGGAACACCGGUGGCGAAGGCGGUUCUCUGGGCAUUACCUGACGCUGAGGAGCGAAAGUGUGGGGAGCGAACAGG
rnacentral:rRNA from 1 species